rnacentral:tRNA from 1 species
GGCUGUCGCUCAGUGGUAGAGCAUCGGCUUGAUAUGCAGAAGGUCCCUGGUUCAAUCCCUGUAAUCUCCA